AGCAGCCGCGGUAAUUCCAGCUCCAAUAGCGUAUAUUAAAGUUGUUGCAGUUAAAAAGCUCGUAGUUGAAUUUCAGGAUCAAUACGUCGGUCGUGCUUCGGUACGUACUGGCAUCAUUGAUUUCUCCCUUCUGACGAACCAUGAUGUCAUUAACUUGGUGUCAUGGGAAAUCAGGACUGUUACUUUGAAAAAAUUAGAGUGUUUAAAGCAGGCUCACGCUUGAAUACAUUAGCAUGGAAUAAUAAAAUAGGACGUUUGAUUCUAUUUUGUUGGUUUCUAGGAUCGACGUAAUAAUUAAUAGGGAUAGUUGGGGGCAUUAGUAUUCAAUUGUCAGAGGUGAAAUUCUUGGAUUUAUUGAAGACUAACUACUGCGAAAGCAUUUGCCAAGGAUGUUUUCAUUAAUCAAGAACGAAAGUUAGGGGAUCGAAGACGGUCAGAUACCGUCGUAGUCUUAACCAUAAACUAUGCCGACUAGGGAUCGGAUGAUGUAAUUUUUAAUGA
rnacentral:rRNA from 1 species